GACGAACGCUGGCGGCGUGCCUAAUACAUGCAAGUCGAGCGAACAGACGAGGAGCUUGCUCCUCUGACGUUAGCGGCGGACGGGUGAGUAACACGUGGAUAACCUACCUAUAAGACUGGGAUAACUUUGGGAAACCGUAGCUAAUACCGGAUAACAUGUUGAACCGCAUGGUUCAACAGUGAAAGACGGUCUUGCUGUCACUUAUAGAUGGACCCGCGUCGCAUCAGCUAGUUGGUAAGGUAACGGCUUACCAAGGCAACGAUGCGUAGCCGACCUGAGAGGGUGAUCGGCCACACUGGAACUGAGACACGGUCCAGACUCCUACGGGAGGCAGCAGUAGGGAAUCUUCCGCAAUGGGGGAAAGCCUGACGGAGCAACGCCGCGUGAGUGAAGAAGGUCUUCGGAUCGUAAAGCUCUGUUGUUAGGGAAGAACGAAUGUGUAAGUAACUAUGCACGUCUUGACGGUACCUGAACAAAAAGCCACGGCUAACUACGUG
rnacentral:rRNA from 1 species